AUUGAACGCUGGCGGCAGGCCUAACACAUGCAAGUCGAGCGGAUGAAGGGAGCUUGCUCCUGGAUUCAGCGGCGGACGGGUGGGUAAUGCCUAGGAAUCUGCCUUGUAGUGGGGGAUAACGUCCGGAAACGGGCGCUAAUACCGCAUACGUCCUGAGGGAGAAAGUGGGGGAUCUUCGGACCUCACGCUAUCAGAUGAGCCUAGGUCGGAUUAGCUAGUUGGUGGGGUAAAGGCCUACCAAGGCGACGAUCCGUAACUGGUCUGAGAGGAUGAUCAGUCACACUGGAACUGAGACACGGUCCAGACUCCUACGGGAGGCAGCAGUGGGGAAUAUUGGACAAUGGGCGAAAGCCUGACCCAGCCAUGCCGCGUGUGUGAAGAAGGUCUUCGGAUUGUAAAGCACUUUAAGUUGGGAGGAAGGGCAGUAAGUUAAUACCUGGCUGUUUUGACGUUACCAACAGAAUAAGCACCGGCUAACUUCGUG
rnacentral:rRNA from 1 species